GCACUUCCUGCAAAAAAACUUUUACUAGACAUAAAAGGAACAGCUGAAAAGGUUUUUGUGGAAGAAUCGCGCAUGCGCAGGUGUGCGGGUGAUAUCUGUGCUAGCCACAACAAAUUUUUUUUUAACAAAGAUUAUGUAACUGUAUUUGAUAUUGUAGCUUUAGCUCUACCAUCACUUGGAUUAUGAUGGUUACACAAUAAAUUUCAAAUUUAUAAAAUUUAGUGUAAGUUGAUUGACUAACGGAUCAACUGAAACAUACGAACGGAUUGCUUCGAGCCCAGCUUCAAAUAACAAUGUGAUAAAGAAUAAAAGCGCUGUAUGAUUAGAUUAAUGAAAAUUUUAUUACCUAAAUAGAUUUGCCACAACACAAUUUUACAAUUAAAUGCCUAAUACUUUGUUGUAACAAUAAAUGCAUAUUUUAUAUGUAUUAGUGAGCAAACUUUUAAUUUAUGGUGGGCGAAGCAUCUGAUCAUCAGCAAAAAUUAGAUGUAGGUAAACAUGAUACUAAUAAUAUGUAUUUGGCGAAUGAGAGCUGGUUGGUAAAUUUUUUUAUGUAAUAAGUAUGUAAUGUAAGUGUAUAUUUAUGUAUUUAUUAUCAAAUGUAGAUAUAUUUUUAGUUUGAGAAACAAUUGUGAUUAUUUGUAUGAAUCUAGAAACGUUGAAAGAUAGUAAUGGUUCAACUCCUUAGUUAUUAUUUAUUAGAAGGCUGUUGCUCUUCAUUAGCAUAAUAAAGUAAAGAGCUUAUGAAUGCAUUUAAUACUUACCGUAAAUGGCUAAGCACAGGAAGCAGAUGACAUCCUGCAAAAGAACACAUUAUACAUAUAAAUGGAUUGAAUUAUUUCAAAUAGACAAAGCAUGUGCGUGUUGCAUAAAUUAGAGGAUGUGUCGUUAGACGAAAAAAAUGGUCGGAAUUGAGAUUAAUUAUGUACUAAUGUAAUAGAAACUCCGUGAAUUUUCAAAAUUUCAAUUAAAGGUAACUUGAUUUGUUUAAAUGAAACUAUCAAUUUUUUUUAUUGCAUCGCAUGUAGGAUUUGAUUAAGUUACACUAUUACCUUCAACGUGGUUAUUUUGCUGUUGUCGCUUAUCAACUAACUGACUGUUGGUGCGCCAUGCAUUUUGCAUUCAAAUAAUGACCGAAAAGUUUGUUAAUGCAGUGAUUCGAGGUGGUGUCAUACUGACCUUAGGUAAAAGUGGUAAAUGGAAAACCUAGGCGUAGCCAAAGCCAAGGUCGAGCAAGCUAACCAAGACAUCGAGAAAAUCUUGGCAGUCUGGAUUUUCAGGUAUUAAGCGGUCAUCUUGUCCUGCCACGUUUGGUAUUGAACCAAGAGUAGGACUUUUAAAUUCGAGUUUACCUUCAGAAGUAAUUGAAAAUUAACUAAUGAAGAGGACGUUCAAAGAGUUGUUCAGGAGGUAAAUUCAGAAAAACAACAAUCUAUAGGCUCUCUUUGAAGAGACACCAAAUGUUGGCCGCUAGAAAGGAAUUAAGUAUACAAACAUUUAAAAAAAACAAGCUGAUCUGCGAAAUAUAAUUGGAGUGGUUCUUGACAAAAACGAAGUCAGCCUCCACAAAAAAUGGAAUAGUCAAACAAGUGUACUGUAGUGGAUACGUUCGAAUAAAAAGCCUGCUAGAUAUCCGAUCCUUACCUUUGCUUUCUGUGAAAUGGUAAAACAAAUUAAGUAAGUUAAUUAAUGGGGGCAAAGGCAAGCAUGUGGACGAAUGCAAAUAUAAUUUUGGUUUUACAAAAGUUAUCACAAAUUAUUAAUUAAUACCCCAUAAAGUCUUUGAAAUACUAAAA